GUGGGGAAUUUUGGACAAUGGGGGCAACCCUGAUCCAGCCAUGCCGCGUGCGGGAAGAAGGCCUUCGGGUUGUAAACCGCUUUUGUCAGGGAAGAAAUCCUUUGGGUUAAUACCUCGGAGGGAUGACGGUACCUGAAGAAUAAGCACCGGCUAACUACGUGCCAGCAGCCGCGGUAAUACGUAGGGUGCGAGCGUUAAUCGGAAUUACUGGGCGUAAAGCGUGCGCAGGCGGUUUUGUAAGAUCGAUGUGAAAUCCCCGGGCUCAACCUGGGAACUGCAUUGGUGACUGCAAGGCUGGAGUGCGGCAGAGGGGGAUGGAAUUCCGCGUGUAGCAGUGAAAUGCGUAGAUAUGCGGAGGAACACCGAUGGCGAAGGCAAUCCCCUGGGCCUGCACUGACGCUCAUGCACGAAAGCGUGGGGAGCAAACAGGAUUAGAAACCCCUGUAGUCC
rnacentral:rRNA from 1 species